rnacentral:rRNA from 1 species
GGCUCUUGGGUUGUAAACCUCUUUUCUCAGGGAAUAAAAAAAUGAAGGUACCUGAGGAAUAAGCAUCGGCUAACUCCGUGCCAGCAGCCGCGGUAAUACGGAGGAUGCAAGCGUUAUCCGGAAUGAUUGGGCGUAAAGGGUCCGCAGGUGGCAUUGUAAGUCUGCUGUCAAAGAAUGAGGCUCAACCUCAUCAAGGCAGUGGAAACUACAAAGCUAGAGUACGUUCGGGGCAGAGGGAAUUCCUGGUGUAGCGGUGAAAUGCGUAGAGAUCAGGAAGAACACCAGUGGCGAAGGCGCUCUGCUAGGCCGUAACUGACACUGAGGGACGAAAGCUAGGGGAGCGAAUGGGAUUAGAUACCCCAGUAGUCCUAGCCGUAAACGAUGGAUACUAGGCGUGGCUUGUAUCGACCCGAGCCGUGCCGUAGCUAACGCGUUAAGUAUCCCGCCUGGGGAGUACGCCGGCAACGGUGAAACUCAAAGGAAUUGACGGGGGCCCGCACAAGCGGUGGAGUAUGUGGUUUAAUUCGAUGCAACGCGAAGAACCUUACCAAGGCUUGACAUGUCGCGAAUCUCGGUGAAAGCUGAGAGUGCCUUCGGGAGCGCGAACACAGGUGGUGCAUGGCUGUCGUCAGCUCGUGUCGUGAGAUGUUGGGUUAAGUCCCGCAACGAGCGCAACCCUCGUUUUUAGUUGCCAGCAUUAAGUUGGGCACUCUAGAGAGACUGCCGGUGACAAACCGGAGGAAGGUGGGGAUGACGUCAAGUCAGCAUGCCCCUUACGUCUUGGGCUACACACGUACUACAAUGCUACGGACAGAGGGCAGCUAAACAGCGAUGUCAAGCAAAUCCCGUAAACCGUAGCUCAGUUCAGAUCGCAGGCUGCAACUCGCCUGCGUGAAGGAGGAAUCGCUAGUAAUUGCAGGUCAGCAUACUGCAGUGAAUUCGUUCCCGGGCCUUGUACACACCGCCCGUCACACCAUGGAAGCUGGCAACGCCCGAAGUCAUUACU